UACGUAGGGACCAAGCGUUGUUCGGAUUUACUGGGCGUAAAGGGCGCGUAGGCGGCGUGGUAAGUCACUUGUGAAAUCUCUGAGCUUAACUCAGAACGGCCAAGUGAUACUGCUGUGCUAGAGUGCAGAAGGGGCAAUCGGAAUUCUUGGUGUAGCGGUGAAAUGCGUAGAUAUCGGGAGGAACACCUGUGGCGAAAGCGGCGCACUGGACCACAACUGACGCUGAGGCGCGAAAGCUAGGGGAGCAAACAGG
rnacentral:rRNA from 1 species